GCUGGGAGGAUCUGGGAGUGUCCCUCUGCCUGCACGUGGAAUGGGCGUCCCUGCAGCCUGUCUGUGCACAUCGACAAGGGCUUCACACUGUGGGCGGCUGAGCCAGGUGCAGCCCGAGCUGUGCUCCUGCGACAGCCCUUCGAGAAGCUGCAGAUGUCUUCAGAUGACGGUGCCAGUCUCCUUUUCCUGGAUUUUGGAGGUGCUGAAGGCGAGAUCCAGCUGGACCUGCACUCGUGUCCCAAAACCAUAGUCUUCAUCAUCCACUCCUUCCUGUCGGCCAAAGUCACCCGCCUCGGGCUGUUGGCCUAGAAGUCGCCGGAUGCACUAGCCCUGAAGAGGGGUGUCCAUGACAUGGCCUGAGCUGGGCCUCCACCGACUGCCUGCUCACCCCUGGGCUGAGGGAAGGGAGAGGAGAGGAACAAGGGCCUCCGAGACCCCACCCCUGAGGGAGACUGGAUUGGUCUUGGGGCCCAGGACCCAGACGCAGGACAGAGUGGACUCUGCCUGUGAUGGGGUGGCCUUCCUGCUGCCCCCCUCCACCAGUGCCUUUUGCAGAGAGAUAUUUUGUGUACACAGAAGCCAUUCCGAGUCUGGGACCUGCCCCUGUGCGGAUCCUGACCCCAGCCAACAGCUGAGCUGCCAGGCCUCCUCGAGGCCCCUAAGCCAUCCCCAGAGGUCCCAUCUGAAGCUGGAGUACCCUGGGGUCAGCAAAAGAGAAAGAAGAGGAGAUUUUCUGUUUGUUUUUCCCCUCAGCCCUGCCACCGUGGGGAGUCUGGUUUUUCUCUUCAUCCUCUCUCUCUCCUCCUUACUCU
rnacentral:lncRNA from 1 species